rnacentral:rRNA from 1 species
GGGUUGUGAGGUUAAGCGAAUAAGCGUACACGGUGGAUGCCUAGGCAGUCAGAGGCGAUGAAGGACGUGCUAAUCUGCGAUAAGCGCCGGUAAGGUGAUAUGAACCGUUAUAACCGGCGAUUUCCGAAUGGGGAAACCCAGUGUGAUUCGUCACACUAUCAUUACCUGAAUACAUAGGGUAAUGAAGCGAACCGGGAGAACUGAAACAUCUAAGUACCCCGAGGAAAAGAAAUCAAACGAGAUUCCCCCAGUAGCGGCGAGCGAACGGGGAGCAGCCCAGGACCUUAAUCAGCAUCAGUGUUAAGAGAACAGUCUGGAAAGGCUGGCCACAGCAGGUGAUAGCCCUGUAUCUGAAAGCACUGGUGUUGUGAGUCCGAUGAGUAAGGCGGGACACGUGUUAUCCUGUCUGAAUACGGGGGGACCAUCCUCCAAGGCUAAAUACUCCUGACUGACCGAUAGUGAACCAGUACCGUGAGGGAAAGGCGAAAAGAACCCCGGCGAGGGGAGUGAAAAAGAACCUGAAACCGUGUACGUACAAGCAGUGGGAGCACCUUUAUGGUGUGACUGCGUACCUUUUGUAUAAUGGGUCAGCGACUUAUAUUCUGUAGCAAGGUUAACCGAAUAGGGGAGCCGCAGGGAAACCGAGUCUUAACUGGGCGAAUUAGUUGCAGGGUAUAGACCCGAAACCCGGUGAUCUAGCCAUGGGCAGGUUGAAGGUUGGGUAACACUAACUGGAGGACCGAACCGACUAAUGUUGAAAAAUUAGCGGAUGACUUGUGGCUGGGGGUGAAAGGCCAAUCAAACCGGGAGAUAGCUGGUUCUCCCCGAAAGCUAUUUAGGUAGCGCCUCGUGAAUUCAUCUCCGGGGGUAGAGCACUGUUUCGGCUAGGGGGUCAUCCCGACUUACCAACCCGAUGCAAACUGCGAAUACCGGAGAAUGUUAUCACGGGAGACACACGGCGGGUGCUAACGUUCGUCGUGAAGAGGGAAACAACCCAGACCGCCGGCUAAGGUCCCAAAGUCAUAAUUAAGUGGGAAACGAAGUGGGAAGGCUCAGACAGCCAGGAUGUUGGCUUAGAAGCAGCCAUCAUUUAAAGAAAGCGUAAUAGCUCACUGGUCGAGUCGGCCUGCGCGGAAGAUGUAACGGGGCUAAAUUAUGCACCGAAGCCGCGGCAGCGAUAUGUAAAUAUUGUUGGGUAGGGGAGCGUUCUGUAAGCCUGUGAAGGUGUGCUGUGAGGCAUGCUGGAGGUAUCAGAAGUGCGAAUGCUGACAUAAGUAACGAUAAUGCGGGUGAAAAACCCGCACGCCGGAAGACCAAGGGUUCCUGUCCAACGUUAAUCGGGGCAGGGUGAGUCGACCCCUAAGGCGAGGCUGAAAAGCGUAGUCGAUGGGCAACGGGUUAAUAUUCCCGUACUGGUGGUAACUGCGAAGGGGGGACGGAGAAAGCUAAAUCAUCCGGGCGACGGUUGUCCCGGUUUAAGCGUGCAGGUGGACUGACCAGGCAAAUCCGGUCGGUUGUUAACACUGAGGCGUGACGACGAGCCACUACGGUGGUGAAGUGAUUGAUGCUCUGCUUCCGGGAAAAGCCUCUAAGCUCCAGGUUACCAUUAAUCGUACCCCAAACCGACACAGGUGGUCAGGUAGAGAAUACUCAGGCGCUUGAGAGAACUCGGGUGAAGGAACUAGGCAAAAUGGUGCCGUAACUUCGGGAGAAGGCACGCUGGCAUUAGGUGAAGUGGUUUACCCACGGAGCUGAAGCCAGCCGCAGAUACCAGCUGGCUGCAACUGUUUAUUAAAAACACAGCACUGUGCAAACACGAAAGUGGACGUAUACGGUGUGACGCCUGCCCGGUGCCGGAAGGUUAAUUGAUGAGGUCAGCCGCAAGGCGAAGCUUCUGAUCGAAGCCCCGGUAAACGGCGGCCGUAACUAUAACGGUCCUAAGGUAGCGAAAUUCCUUGUCGGGUAAGUUCCGACCUGCACGAAUGGCGUAAUGAUGGCCAGGCUGUCUCCACCCGAGACUCAGUGAAAUUGAACUCGCUGUGAAGAUGCAGUGUACCCGCGGCAAGACGGAAAGACCCCGUGAACCUUUACUAUAGCUUGACACUGAACAUUGAGCCUUGAUGUGUAGGAUAGGUGGGAGGCAACGAAGUGUGGACGCCAGUCUGCACGGAGCCAUCCUUGAAAUACCACCCUUUAACGUUUGAUGUUCUAACCCGGGUCCAUAAUCUGGAUCGGGGACCGUGU